UACAGAGGGUGCGAGCGUUAAUCGGAAUUACUGGGCGUAAAGCGCACGUAGGCGGCUUGGUAUGUCGGGUGUGAAAUCCCCGGGCUCAACCUGGGAACUGCAUCCGAAACUGCCUUGCUAGAGUAUGGGAGAGGGAAGUGGAAUUUCCGGUGUAGCGGUGAAAUGCGUAGAUAUCGGAAGGAACAUCAGUGGCGAAGGCGACUUCCUGGACCAAUACUGACGCUCAGGUGCGAAAGCCAGGGGAGCGAACGGG
rnacentral:rRNA from 1 species